rnacentral:rRNA from 1 species
GAUGAACGCUGGCGGCGUGCCUAAUACAUGCAAGUCGAGCGAAUGGAUUAAGAGCUUGCUCUUAUGAAGUUAGCGGCGGACGGGUGAGUAACACGUGGGUAACCUGCCCAUAAGACUGGGAUAACUCCGGGAAACCGGGGCUAAUACCGGAUAACAUUUUGAACCGCAUGGUUCGAAAUUGAAAGGCGGCUUCGGCUGUCACUUAUGGAUGGACCCGCGUCGCAUUAGCUAGUUGGUGAGGUAACGGCUCACCAAGGCAACGAUGCGUAGCCGACCGGGGAGGGUGAUCGGCAACACUGGGACGGAUACACGGCCCAGACUCCUACGGGAGGCAGCAGUAGGGAAUCUUCCGCAAUGGACGAAAGUCUGACGGAGCAACGCCGCGUGAGUGAUGAAGGCUUUCGGGUCGUAAAACUCUGUUGUUAGGGAAGAACAAGUGCUAGUUGAAUAAGCUGGCACCUUGACGGUACCUAACCAGAAAGCCACGGCUAACUACGUGCCAGCCGCCGCGGUAA